ensembl:lncRNA
AUUAUUUUUCCCAAUUAAUUUUUUCCGAUUAUUUUUCCCAAUUAUUUUUCCAAUUAUUUUUUUCCGAUUAUUUUUCCAAUUAAUUAUUUUUUUCCAAUUAUUUUUCCGAUUAUUUUUCCAAUUAAUUAUUUUUUCCAAUUAUUUUUCCCAUUAUUUUUUUCCCGAUAAUUUUUUCCAAUUAUUUUGUUCCGAUUAUUUUUUCCAUUUUUUUCCAAUUAUUUUUCCCAAUUAUUUUUCCAAUUAAUUAUUUUUCCCAAUUAAUUUUUUCCGAUUAUUUUUUCCCGAUUAUUUUUUCCAAUUAUUUUUUUUCAAUUAUUUUUUCCAAUUAUUUUUCCGAUUAUUUUUCCGAUUAUUUUUCCAAUUAAUUAUUUUUCCCAAUUAAUUUUUUCCGAUUAUUUUUUCCCGAUUAUUUUUUCCAAUUAUUUUUUUUCAAUUAUUUUUUCCUAUUAUUUUUCCGAUUAUUUUUCCGAUUAUUUUUCCAAUUAAUUAUUUUUCCCAAUUAAUUUUUUCCGAUUAUUUUUUCCCGAUUAUUUUUUCCAAUUAUUUUUUUUCAAUUAUUUUUUCCAAUUAUUUUUCCGAUUAUUUUUCCGAUUAUUUUUCCAAUUAAUUAUUUUUCCCAAUUAAUUUUUUCCAAUUAAUUUUUUCCGAUUAUUUUUUUCCGAUUAUUUUUUCCAAUUAUUUUUUUCCAAUUAUUCUUCCGAUUAUUUUUCCAAUUAUUUUUUCCGAUUAUUUUUUCCCGAUUAUUUUUUCCAAUUAUUUUUCCGAUUAUUUUUCCGAUUAUUUUUCCCAAUUAUUUUUCCCAAUUAUUUUUAUCCGAUUAUUUUUUCCAAUUUUUUCCAAUUAUUUUUUUCCAAUUAGUUUUCCGAUUAUUUUUCCAAUUAAUUAUUUUUUCUCAAUUAUUUUUCCCAAUUAAAUUUUUCCGAUUAUUUUUUCCCGAUUAUUUUUUCCGAUUAUUUUUCCAAUUAUUUUUCCGAUUUUUUUCUGAUUAUUUUUCCAUUUUUUCCCAAUUAUUUUUCUAAUUAAUUAUUUUUUCCGAUUAUUUUUUCUAAUUAUUUUUC